CAGUGAAAAGCCAAAUAGAGGCAUUUAACUGUUAAUUAAAAAAUUGAAAAACUUUUCUUCACUGG